UUGCUGAUUUGUCUGACAUCCCUGUCUACACACUUUUAUCCGCCCACGCUUGAGACGUCCUCCUCAGCGCGCAGGCUUCACGGUACCAACCGUGCGGUAUCAUCGCUACAUGAUGAGUGCACUGCCCCAACCAUUGAAGCAUCACAAGGUGCUUGCCUGCCGCCGCCGCCGCUGAUACGUACACGAUUGCUGCCACACAACCAACACAUCACACCCAACAAUCACAACAACAAAACAACUGAGACCCGCCGCCGCGCAACGCACACUGCUGUACACGCCCCAGGGCCGAGAACACAACGCAACACAAGCACCUGACAUGCCUCAUCCAGGCAUGCGUCACUCAAUCGCCCACCGAGCCGACCUCGCACACGCCGUUCGUGAGCCCCUGCGGCUGACAUGCCCGGCCCUGCCCCCUUGGCACCGCAGCCCUGCCGCCUUGGCACCGCCGCCCAUUGCCCCACCCCCAUGCUGCGUGCCAUGUAAGAAUAAAGCCAGGUCCCCAUCAAGCCGCAGCAUAUAUCCCCGCCAAGCCACCACACUCCUCUUGCCGCACGCUACCAACCACCACCAGCACAGGACCGGCACCUGCCUGUCCCCCUGUUUAGUUUGGGCUGAUAUUUACAACCCCCCACCCUCCCCUCCCCACCUUCCCCAUUGCCAACCUCGCCCACCGCGCCGACAUACACGCCGGCACCUCGCUCGUGCCUCUCGAGGCCUCCCAUCUUCCGUAGCUAGAGAUCCCCAUCCACUAGCAUCCACUUGGGCUCCAGCCCACUCCUGAUGCACACGCCAGCAUUAUCCAGGUCUGCAUGGUUUGCAUGUCUGCCUACCGUGCACGCACACCUGCCUAGCUACGCCGACCUACUACCGUCCUCCUCGACCCGACCCGCCGCCGCCGCCGCCUCCCUCUGGCCGCCGUGCCGGCCGCACCAGCAGCUGCUGUUGUGGGUUGCCGCCAGAGCCGCCGCCGCCCUUGCUGGUAGUGGUGGUGGUUGCGGGCUGCUGCGGCGCGGCCGUAAUGACAGCCGCAGCGCCGCCCACGGCACCCACUGCCACUGUUUCCACCGCCACCGCCGGCUGCUGCAGCCGGCGCAGCAGGUAGGCCUCCUGCUCCUCCGGGCUCUUCAGGCCCGCCCACUCCCAGUACGGCAGCACAAGAACGCCGCCGCCCUCCCCGAACGCCCGCCGCAGCUGCCGAAUGCGCAUGGCCGUACCACCGUCAACAGCGGUGGGGUCGCGCUUUAGAUUGGACAGAAAGCGUGCCGGUCCGAGGAGCUCCACCGCCGCCUGCUGCCCGUCACUCAGCCGCACCACCGCAUCCACUGGCGCCAACGCGCCUUGCGCGACCACGCCCGUUUGUACGGACACGACGGCAAGGCCUCCUGCUGCCUCACGCCCCUGGUGCUGCUCAAGCCGCCGCAGCGCUGCGACGACCUGCUUUUGGAUGUCAGAUGUGGGCUUGGCGUUUUCCCUCUCAGCAGUCACCGCCGCUGCCAUCGCCGCCUGCAGGCCGGGGCUGCUCCCCAGGGCCGCCGCAACCUCGCCGCCUAGCUCUUGCUGCGCCUGCCACAGCUGAUUGAGAUUCUCAGUUGUAAAACCCUCCCAACGGCUUACUGCUUCACGGGCUAGCUGAAUGGAUAGCUGCUGCAUGUCGGGAGAAUACGUGCCUCCAAUCACCGCCAUGGCCCACAGGCUGUUUGAUAUGUUUUGGUUGUUUACCGCCUGCCUGUCGCGCUGCAGCAGCUCGCCCAGCCGGCCGCACACCGCCGCCUCCAAGCCAGCGUGCCGCAGCUGCAGCACCGCCAGCGCCCAGAGCGUGUUUGCACAGUUCUGACCACCGGCACUACUGGCGCGCAUGGCUGCUGCUGCUGCACCCGCAUCCAGCAGCUCCGGCGGCGGCUGGUGGCGCAUCAACGCAAGCGCGUACAGCAGGUUGGCCCAGGCCUGAGGCGUCGCACGGGCCAUGACGCCCGGCCGCAUUGCUGCGACCACCGCUGCCGAAGCCCACUGCCGCUGCUCUGCCGGCGCCUCCGGGCCCACCCCAAAUCCGAUCUUGGCCAGGGCCCACGCUGAGUUGCUGAGGUCCUGAGCCACGUACCCGGCAAAUCCCCGACGCACGUCCUCUGCGGCCACUGCCACCACCAGCUCUGCCUGCUCGCCGCCCAGCUGCAGCCCCUCCAGCGCCAGCAGGAUGUUGGACAGAUGCUGCGGCUUGAACGCUUCAGCAUCCUUCGGUGCUCGGAGCUGCCGCAGCGCCUCCCCGCACAGCGCCUCAACUGCUGAUCGGUACUCUGGUCCCAUGCAACCCAAAGCCGCAAACGCCCAGAGGGUAUUGGACAGAUGUUGCGUCUCCAUGCUGAGACUGAGCGCCGCUGCCGCCUCUGCCAGCGGCAGCAGGAGUUCCGGUUCCGGGUAACCCAGCUUGGCGCACGCCCAGAGAAUGUUGGACACGUCCUGUGCUGUGAAGCCGUGACCAACCGCCACUCCCAACCGGGAGGCCACAGCUGCCGCCAAGGUCUGCAAGUGCGGAGAUGAGGUGGGGUCCCAGCCUGAGCCCCGCUGCUCCUGGUCUUGCUUGAUCUUGCCGAGUGCGUACAUGACGUUUGUAAGACUUUGAGGUUUUGCAGUUCCAAGAACCUCUGAAUCCAACAGCCGCUCCAGCAGCGCUGCUAUGAGCUGAGCCUCCAUGGCCGAGCCGCCGCUGAUCCCUGCUUUCCCCAGCGCCCACAGCACGAUGCUGCAAUCAACCGCCUUGCGGAUGCGCGGCACGAGCGGCAGGUAGGCCGGCGCAAGCAUGCCGAUAAUGCUGCUGCGUGCUACAGCCGUUUGGCUUGCUCCAGCGCGCGACUCCAGCUGCGUUCAAAACAGUUAUGAGGGACAUACAUGGGGUCAAGUGCUAUAUGCAUGUGUUUGUGCGUGUGCGUGAACAGGUGCGCAUGCAAGUCCUGUGUGGCCAUCUGCGUCGUGAGAACCGGAAGUCCGGGCCGAGAAUGACAACAAUUGGACUCGCCCUCAAUUCUGCACUUUAUUUCUCUGCCCAUUCCCACCUGCACGUUUUAGUCCUCCCUCUCACCUUGCCGCACAGGUUGAACGCCGCACACAUGGUAAUGAAGUCUUUUCGGCCCUCCCACACUGAUAGCCGCUGGCUGAUGAUAGCUUGCAGGUCCUCCAGAGUCCGACACACGGUCAUGUCAUCCGCGGGGUCACGCCCGCUGCCCCUGCUUCUGCCGCUGGCGCGGCUGCCAUCGCCUGCCCUGCCUCCGCCGCUUCCCCUACCCGCCGCCGCCUGCACUAUUGGCCGCCCGAGGCGGGAGCUACUGCUGCCGCAGAGCACUACCGCCGUCGAGACGCGCAGUGGGGAUGAGCUGCUACUGUUGAGUGCUGGGACAGAAGUAGCGGCGGCAGCGCGCGGUGAGCUGGGGCCGGUGUCGGCAGCGGUCCGAUGCAUGCCAUAAACGAACAGUCUUCUAAACGCGCACGCCGGUGGCGGUGCCUGGAGACGGGCUGAUAACGAAUGGCUACAGCCAUGUACGCUGUGCCUGUGCGCACCAGCGGGAGAGCCCGCGACGACGCGCAGGGCGAGCAUCUCGGGCCUCCUCACGGCGGCGACCUGAGCUAUAGCGACUCUAUCCGUCUACGUGUCUGAGCACUGCAAAUGCAUUAGGCUUGCAUUUGUGGGAGAAUAACGCAAGGAACGAAAGGUCAGGUGCGUGUAGGUCGCUGGGCCAAAGCCGCCUGAGUAGCUGUGGCUUGGUAUGGAUGAUAAAGCAACUGAAUCAAUUUGCCACCGGUGUUGAGGCGAGGGCGACCUGACCGCGAAAUACACGGCCCGAGGGCACGCCCCGUAUCAACACCCCUCGCGACCUCCAAACACGUGCACUGAACCGCGAAGCCCUCCCCCAAGCCUAUCGCGGCUGCUAUUCCCAUGUCCUCCUCCCCAACCAUUCUGCAUACAGGCUCUGGCGUGAGUCCCUGCCCGCGUCAUUUGACACCCGUCGACCACGACUGAGGUGCAACGCAUGUCGCUUACAAUUCCAACAUCCCGCCCGACACGAGAGGGGCAGAAACGGCGGGGCAGACGGCCAGCCUCUUGAACAUGAGCAUAGCAGUGCCAUAGCGCACAUUGGGUCCCCGCCUGCUUCACCUGGCCACCUUUGCUGAUUUGUCUGACAUCCCUGUCUACACACUUUUAUCCGCCCACGCUUGAGACGUCCUCCUCAGCGCGCAGGCUUCACGGUACCAACCGUGCGGUAUCAUCGCUACAUGAUGAGUGCACUGCCCCAACCAUUGAAGCAUCACAAGGUGCUUGCCUGCCGCCGCCGCCGCUGAUACGUACACGAUUGCUGCCACACAACCAACACAUCACACCCAACAAUCACAACAACAAAACAACUGAGACCCGCCGCCGCGCAACGCACACUGCUGUACACGCCCCAGGGCCGAGAACACAAC
rnacentral:lncRNA from 1 species